rnacentral:piRNA from 1 species
CACAGAGAAACCCUGUCUCGGGGGGGAA